CGAGGUUGACGUUCGGGAUUAUUGGGCGUAAGAGCUCGUAGGCGGUUUGUCGCGUCUGUCGUGAAAGUCCGGGGCUUAACCCCGGAUCUGCGGUGGGUACGGGCAGACUAGAGUGCAGUAGGGGAGACUGGAAUUCCUGGUGUAGCGGUGGAAUGCGCAGAUAUCAGGAGGAACACCGAUGGCGAAGGCAGGUCUCUGGGCUGUAACUGACGCUGAGGAGCGAAAGCAUGGGGAGCGAACAGGAUUAGAUACCCUGGUAGUCCAUGCCGUAAACGUUGGGCACUAGGUGUGGGGACCAUUCCACGGUUUCCGCGCCGCAGCUAACGCAUUAAGUGCCCCGCCUGGGGAGUACGGCCGCAAGGCUAAAACUCAAAGGAAUUGACGGGGGCCCGCACAAGCGGCGGAGCAUGCGGAUUAAUUCGAUGCAACGCGAAGAACCUUACCAAGGCUUGACAUGUUCUCGAUCGCCGUAGAGAUACGGUUUCCCCUUUGGGGCGGGUUCACAGGUGGUGCAUGGUUGUCGUCAGCUCGUGUCGUGAGAUGUUGGGUUAAGUCCCGCAACGAGCGCAACCCUCGUUCCAUGUUGCCAGCACGUCGUGGUGGGGACUCAUGGGAGACUGCCGGGGUCAACUCGGAGGAAGGUGAGGACGACGUCAAAUCAUCAUGCCCCUUAUGUCUUGGGCUUCACGCAUGCUACAAUGGCCGGUACAAUGGGUUGCGAUACUGUGAGGUGGAGCUAAUCCCAAAAAGCCGGUCUCAGUUCGGAUUGGGGUCUGCAACUCGACCCCAUGAAGUCGGAGUCGCUAGUAAUCGCAGAUCAGCAACGCUGCGGUGAAUACGUUCCCGGGCCUUGUACACACCG
rnacentral:rRNA from 1 species